GACGAACGUUGGCGGCGUGCCUAACACAUGCAAGUCGAGCGGGGGGAAGGCUUCGGCCUGGAACCUAGCGGCGGACGGGUGAGUAACGCGUGAGGAACCUGUCCCAAACAGGGGGAUACCAGAUGGAAACAUCUGCUAAUACCGCAUAAGACCACAGAGCCACAUGGUUCAGGGGUCAAAGGAGCAAUCCGGUUUGGGGUGGCCUCGCGUCCGAUUAGCUAGUUGGUGAGGUAAUGGCCCACCAAGGCGACGAUCGGUAGCCGACCUGAGAGGGUGAUCGGCCACAUUGGGACUGAGACACGGUCCAA
rnacentral:rRNA from 1 species